rnacentral:rRNA from 1 species
GAACGAACGUUGGCGGCGUGGAUUAUGCAUGCAAGUCGAACGAAUCCUCGCGCCGUAGCAGUACGGCGCGGGGGGAAGUGGCGAAAGGGGCAGUAAGGCGUGGGUAACCUACCCCGGGGAUGGGCAUAGCCGUCCUAACGGACGGGUAAUUCCCAGCGAUCCGUCGGAGGGGCAUCCCCCUGACGGGAAAUGAGCUUCGCCUCGGGAGGGACUCACGUGCUAUUAGCUAGUUGGCGGGGUAACGGCCCACCAAGGCAAAGAUGGCUAGCGGGUGUGAGAGCACGACCCGCGCCACUGGCACUGAGACACUGGCCAGACACCUACGGGUGGCUGCAGUCGAGGAUCUUCGUCAAUGGGCGCAAGCCUGAACGAGCGACGCCGCGUGUGCGAUGAAGGCCUUCGGGUUGUAAAGCACUGUCGAGGGGGACCAAGGCCCGCAAGGGCUUGAUCGAUCCCUGGAGGAAGCACGGGCUAAGUUCGUGCCAGCAGCCGCGGUAAGACGAACCGUGCGAACGUUGUUCGGAACCACUGGGCUUAAAGGGCGCGUAAGCGGCUCGCGAGGUCGGGGGUGAAAUCCCGCGGCUUAACCGCGGAAGGGCCUCCGAUACCGGCGGGCUGGAGGAGGGUAGGGGUGCGCGGAACUUCUGGUGGAGCGGUGAAAUGCGUUGAUAUCAAAAGGAACGCCGGCGGCGAAAGCGGCGCACUGGACCCUUUCUGACGCUGAGGCGCGAAAGCCAGGGGAGCAAACGGGAUUAGAUACCCCGGUAGUCCUGGCCCUAAACGAUGGGUACUAGGCCGUGGGCCGGUCAUGGGCUCACAGCAGAAGCAAAAGUGUUAAGUACCCCGCCUGGGGAGUAUGGUCGCAAGGCUGAAACUCAAAGGAAUUGACGGGGGCUCACACAAGCGGUGGAGCAUGUGGCUUAAUUCGAGGCUACGCGAAGAACCUUAUCCUGGGCUUGACAUGUGCGAAAGCGGUCGGGAGUAGGGUGCGGAAACGUUACCCCAACGGUACCCAGUCCGGAACCGACUACAGGUGCUGCAUGGCUGUCGUCAGCUCGUGCCGUGAGGUGUUGGGUUAAGUCCCGUAACGAGCGAAACCCCUGUCCUUAGUUGCCAGCGCGUCAUGGCGGGCACUCUAAGGAGACCGCCGGCGUCAAGCCGGAGGAAGGCGGGGAUGACGUCAAGUCCUCAUGGCCCUUAUGCCCGGGGCUGCACACGUGCUACAAUGGGGCGUCCCAAAGCGAUGCCAGGCCGCAAGGUCGCGCUAAUCGCCCAAACCGCCCCCCAGUUCGGAUUGCGGGCUGCAACCCGCCCGCAUGAAGCCGGAAUCGCUAGUAAUCGCGGAUCAGCAUGCCGCGGUGAAUGGGUUCCUGAGCCUUGUACACACUGCCCGUCAAGCCACCAAAGCGGGGGGCACCAGAAGU